UUGGUCCUACGGGAGGCAGCAGUGGGGGAUAUUGCACAAUGGGCGAAAGCCUGAUGCAGCGACGCCGCGUGAGGGAAGACGGUUUUCGGAUUGUAAACCUCUGUCUUUGGGGAAGAAAUCAGACGGUACCCAAAGAGGAAGCUCCGGCUAACUACGUGCCAGCAGCCGCGGUAAUACGUAGGGAGCGAGCGUUGUCCGGAAUUACUGGGUGUAAAGGGAGCGUAGGCGGGCUUGUAAGUUGAAUGUCUAAUCAACC
rnacentral:rRNA from 1 species